CCGAGGAGAAGCAGGGAUGACCCGCCCCUCCCGCACGGGCCCCACCCCUCUUUCCUCCGCCGGCAGUUGCAUCACGUGAUCUCGCGCCGGACGCCUGAUCGAUUCCCCGCCUUCCUCCUUCCGGCGCAGGGGCGGGCUGAAGGGACGAUCACUCUUCGUCACGCCCCCGCCGGGCGUCAGGGGCGGGACCAGACUAGCCCCGCCCCUUCCCUAAAAACAGUCAUUACGCCGGAAAUGCCCUCCUUCUCGCCCGUUUACUACAAGGAUGAAGGCGGGCUCUCCCGGCGUGCGCCGCGGCGGGGGCGGGGGCGGGGCCGGAGACGCGUCGCGGGAACUGCCCGCGCCUGGCAGCCGAGGCUCCCGUCAUGCUGUGCGCGCAGAGCCGCCGCACUAGUGAGUUGGCUUUAAGGGCUUCCAGUUUUCAGCUUCUGGCGAUCUUCCUGGCAACUCCAGCUCAGCAAAUCUGAAACAAUUCAUUAGGGACUUGGUCAUCUCAGUCUGUCUAUUUGCAAUUCAAGAAAUGGAUCCCUCUCCACCAGUCUCACCCAUCCUUUCCAACCUCAGUAGACAAUACAAGGAAACAGGAAAUGGAACCAGGAUCCACAGUGGCUAGCCUUUUGCUUCAGCAGACCUGCUUUAUGCUCGCUUUACCGGAGCCCGUUUCCUGUUCCUCGAGGGCAGGUGUGCCCCAUUUCACUCACCUCUGUCGGUUGUACGCAGUCUUUAUGGGAUGCUGGUGCCGUGCAGAGAACUUUGUUCCAGCCGUUAUCAGUAUAAUCAGUUUUGCCAUCCUGGUGUGUGAAGACUUCCAAACAUAAAACAACUUUUCUGCAA